rnacentral:rRNA from 1 species
UGUGAACGCUGGCGGUAGGCCUAACACAUGCAAGUCGAACGGCAGCACAGUAAGAGCUUGCUCUUACGGGUGGCGAGUGGCGGACGGGUGAGGAAUACAUCGGAAUCUACUUUUUCGUGGGGGAUAACGUAGGGAAACUUACGCUAAUACCGCAUACGACCUACGGGUGAAAGCAGGGGAUCUUCGGACCUUGCGCGAUUGAAUGAGCCGAUGUCGGAUUAGCUAGUUGGCGGGGUAAAGGCCCACCAAGGCGACGAUCCGUAGCUGGUCUGAGAGGAUGAUCAGCCACACUGGAACUGAGACACGGUCCAGACUCCGACGGGAAGCAGCAGUGGGGAAUAUUGGACAAUGGGCGCGAGCCUGAUCCAGCCAUACCGCGUGAGUGAAGAAGGCCUUCUGGUUGUAAAGCCCUUUUGUUGGGAAAGAAAAGCAGCAGGUUAAUACCCCGCUGUUCUGACGGUACCCAAAGAAUAAGCACCGGCUAACUUCGUG